rnacentral:rRNA from 1 species
GACGAACGCUGGCGGCGUGCUUAACACAUGCGAGUCGUACGGUAAGGCCCUUUCGGGGGUACACGAGUGGCGAACAGGUGAGUAACACGUGAGUAACCUGCCCACAACUUUGGGAUAACGCUAGGAAACUGGUGCUAAUACUGGAUAUGUGCUCCUGCUGCAUGGUGGGGGUUGGAAAGCUCCGGCGGUUGUGGAUGGACUCGCGGCCUAUCAGCUUGUUGGUGGGGUAGUGGCCUACCAAGGCGGCGACGGGUAGCCGGCCUGAGAGGGUGACCGGCCACAUUGGGACUGAGAUACGGCCCAGACUCCUACGGGAGGCAGCAGUGGGGAAUAUUGCACAAUGGGCGCAAGCCUGAUGCAGCAACGCCGCGUGCGGGAUGACGGCCUUCGGGUUGUAAACCGCUUUCAGCAGGGACGAAGCUUUUUGUGACGGUACCUGCAGAAGAAGCACCGGCUAACUACGUG